AACGCGAAGAACCUUACCUACUCUUGACAUCCAGAGAACUUAGCAGAGAUGCUUUGGUGCCUUCGGGAACUCUGAGACAGGUGCUGCAUGGCUGUCGUCAGCUCGUGUUGUGAAAUGUUGGGUUAAGUCCCGCAACGAGCGCAACUCUUAUCCUUUGUUGCCAGCGGUUAGGCCGGGAACUCAAAGGAGACUGCCAGUGAUAAACUGGAGGAAGGUGGGGAUGACGUCAAGUCAUCAUGGCCCUUACGAGUAGGGCUACACACGUGCUACAAUGGCGCAUACAAAGAGAAGCGACCUCGCGAGAGCAAGCGGACCUCAUAAAGUGCGUCGUAGUCCGGAUUGGAGUCUGCAACUCGACUCCAUGAAGUCGGAAUCGCUAGUAAUCGUAGAUCAGAACGCUACGGUGAAUACGUUCCCGGGCCUUGUACACACCG
rnacentral:rRNA from 1 species